rnacentral:lncRNA from 1 species
CCACCAGCUGGCCCAUGAAGCCCUGCACUAGGAUAUACCGUGUUUUCUAUGCUUUAUUGACUGAUUUUGAUCAUUUGCUUUUGGUAUGAACAGAUACAGGUGACAGUGCAUGUGUGAAUUCAUUCAUUCAUUCAUUCAUUCAUUCUUCACCAGAUGGGACCCAACCCUGUGCUUGCUGCCAAGCUCACUGGGACCCCAGCAUCCAGCAGUGCCCUGGAAAAGUGGCUGUGAAGUUACUUGCAAGACUGCAUUGAACCCUGGCGAGACACUUCUCAGGGGAGCUGUCCAGCUACAUUCUCUGAGUGAAGGCAAGUGUAGUCACUUUUCUCUGCUAUGUUAAUAUGUGCCAUGAGUUUUAAAAGACUCUCCCUUCAGUCAGCGGAUGACAUCUGCUGCUUAGCAAGAAGGCGAAGCUCCGUUUGUCUAAUCAGCUACAUGUUGGGAUUUGAAAACAUGGCACCAAGACCCCUGAAAGAUGUGUUAGAAACAAGUUUUCUGGUUUGGGAUUCAUGAGAAUUUCUUGGCUCCCAAGCAGACCCAACUUUAACAGUGACAGGGGCAGACAUGUGGUGGAAUGUGGGAGCACCACCUGGCUAUGAGAAGCUUAGGAUAUUUUCCCAUGGUUAAAAAUAAAAUAAAGUCGAUGUUUUGGAAAGUGGUGAGAAACAGAUGGGGGUGAAGGAUGAGUACCCCCAUUGCAUUGUUGAGGACCCUGAAGUUUACUCACGUAUCAGGGCUCAUAAGUGAAUUGAAGAAGGAAGCCAGGUGUCUUUGAGCCAGGUUGGCUCCACAGCAGCCAGACCACCCCGCUGCUGGGGAAGUCACAGAAGAGGCUCUGGCAUAAGCACCAAUUCUUAGGAGGCCACAUAGUCAUUCUUCUUGAUGCUCAUUGUUUUUAAGGCCCUGGGUGAGUGGAAGAAGAUCUUUUGUUGUGUGUGUCCUUGUCACCACUGAUUUCUGGGAUUCCACAUUAUUUUGGCUUAUUUCUCCAUUGAUACAAUUGUAACUUGUAAUGUUAGAACUCUGGGAGAAUAAAUUCCAGAUGAGCUCUUGAUGUCAAUUAAUAGGUUCAUGCCAAUUUUCUUGGGUUUGGAGACGUGAAGAUACACAAAAGAAAGUACAGUCUUUGCUUUAAAGCAGCUCACAGACUAAUGGAGUGGAUGCCACUGAACCAGUGAUUCCAGUAAAGUAUGAAAGGGGUCUAGAGAUUUAUGUCCAAGUUGUUCUGGGGCCAUUUAGAGGAGGUGGGAGUACAGGAUGGUGGUAGGGGAAGGCUUCCCGGAAAAAAGAAAUCGAGUUCAGGUUUUGCUGGAAAAAAAAAGUGACCAGGGGAUAAGUAGAAAGAAUUGUAGGAAAAGGGAAGAACAGGUGCAGGCUGUCAGGCUCCCAGCCAUCAGCUAUCCCAAGUAUUUCUUGAAUUGUUGUGACAUACCAGGCAUUGCCCUUCAUGCUUCAGUACAGUGAUGUUCUCUAAAUAAGGCUCAGUUGGAAUAUUUCAAUCUCUCAGCAGUUUGCUUUCCUCACCUUGCCCCUUAAAAAUUCCCAGGCUUGUGGGAAUGGGAAUGGAAUUGUUGGAAAAGGGCAGAGUAGAUUUUAAAAAUCACUUCAUUCCCUGUUGUGUGGGAAAGUUUCCCAGGAAGAGACUGCCAAGCCCAGGAAGAUACAUAUAUAUGCAAAUUCCCCAGCAAAAUGUUUUCUAGCCCCUCAACCUCAAUCUACAGAAGUUUCCGUUAUCAUAGGCUACAAUCUGAUGCAGUGUGUGGUCCUACCCUGACCCUAAUUCAAGGGAGUUUUUCACAGACCUCAUUACCACUUAAGUUUUUAGGAAGGGGCUUGAAAACAGAAGGAGAUAGACUAAAAGACAUUGUGCA